AAUCCAUAGGUUAAUGAGGCGAACCGGGGGAACUGAAACAUCUAAGUACCCCGAGGAAAAGAAAUCAACCGAGAUUCCCCCAGUAGCGGCGAGCGAACGGGGAGGAGCCCAGAGCCUGAAUCAGCAUGUGUGUUAGUGGAAGCGUCUGGAAAGGCGCGCGAUACAGGGUGACAGCCCCGUACACAAAAGCGCAUGUGCUGUGAGCUCGAUGAGUAGGGCGGGACACGUGGUAUCCUGUCUGAAUAUGGGGGGACCAUCCUCCAAGGCUAAAUACUCCUGACUGACCGAUAGUGAACCAGUACCGUGAGGGAAAGGCGAAAAGAACCCCGGCGAGGGGAGUGAAAAAGAACCUGAAACCGUGUACGUACAAGCAGUGGGAGCCCCACCACCAAAGCAUUUGCUGUACCGCGUUGACGGAGCGAAGCGACGUCAAACCGAUAAAACAGCAGUGUAAAGUGAGCCGCAGGGCGCUU
rnacentral:rRNA from 2 species